GUCCAGACUCCUACGGGAGGCAGCAGUGGGGGAUAUUGCACAAUGGGGGAAACCCUGAUGCAGCGACGCCGCGUGGGUGAAGGAGUAUUUCGGUAUGUAAAGCCCUAUCGGCAGGGAAGAAGCAAGACGGUACCUGACUAAGAAGCCCCGGCUAACUACGUGCCAGCAGCCGCGGUAAUACGUAGGGGGCGAGCGUUAUCCGGAUUCACUGGGUGUAAAGGGAGCGUAGACGGCCAAGCAAGCCAGGGGUGAAAGCCCGGGGCCCAACCCCGGGACUGCCCUUGGAACUGCUUGGCUGGAGUGCGGGAGGGGCAGGCGGAAUUCCUGGUGUAGCGGUGAAAUGCGUAGAUAUCAGGAGGAACACCGGCGGCGAAGGCGGCCUGCUGGACCGCGACUGACGUUGAGGCUCGAAAGCGUGGGGAGCGAACAGGAUUAGAUACCCUUGUA
rnacentral:rRNA from 1 species